GUACACGCUGUGACUAGCAUAUCAAUAAGCGGAGGAAAAGAAACUAACAAGGAUUCCCUCAGUAACGGCGAGUGAAGCGGGAAGAGCUCAAAUUUGAAAUCUUGAAAGGUCACCUUUCACGAAUUGUAGUUUAAAGAAGUGUUUUCUGUUACGAUCGUAAUAUAAGUUCUUUGGAAUAGGACAUCACAGAGGGUGAGAAUCCCGUCUAUGAUUGCGAUUUGUAGCUUUGUGAUACACUUUCAAAGAGUCGGGUUGUUUGGGAAUGCAGCCCAAAACGGGAGGUAAAUUUCUUCUAAGGCUAAAUAUUGGCGAGAGACCGAUAGCGAACAAGUACCGUGAGGGAAAGAUGAAAAGAACUUUGAAAAGAGAGUUAAAUAGUACGUGAAAUUGUCAAAAGGGAAGCGUUUAACACCAGUGUUGUUUUCUGAAAAUCAACCUCUGUUAGCUUUAUGCAUGUUUGUUUAGACCUAAUCAGCUAUCUUUCAUGUUCUAUUGUUUGCAGUGGUGCACUUUUCGGUUUACAGGUCAACAUCAGUUUUUUUUACCGUAAAAAAGUUAAAGAAAGGUAGCUCAUGGCUCCGGUCGUGAGUGUUAUAGUCUUUUUCCUAUGCGGUAGGGAGAGACUGAGGUCUGCAGUGUAGGCUAUUUGGCUAGAUACUCAGGUGCUAUGUGAUACCAUUUCAUAAACAACUUGUUGAUUAUGUUUUGUCUAUUGCAUACUCGCUUGUACUAUCAUACCUACGCUUAGGAUGUUGAGUAGCGACAUACGCAC
rnacentral:rRNA from 1 species